rnacentral:lncRNA from 1 species
GAAAUCUCAUAGCAUAACUAAUAUGGAGAUUGGAGGGCUAAAAAUCUAUGAUAUUCUUAGUGAUAAUGGACCUCAGCAGCCAAGUACAACCGUUAAAAUCACAUCUGCUGUUGAUGGAAAAAAUAUAGUCAGGAGCAAGUCUGCCACACUGUUGUAUGAUCAACCAUUGCAGGUAUUUACUGGUUCUUCCUCAUCUUCUGAUUUAAUAUCAGGAACAAAGGCAAUUUUCAAGUUUGAUUCAAAUCAUAAUCCCGAAGAGCCAAAUAUAAUAAGAGGCCCCACAAGUGGCCCACAAUCUGCACCUCAAAUAUAUGGUCCUCCACAGUAUAAUAUCCAAUACAGUAGCAGUGCUGCAGUCAAAGACACUUUGUGGCACUCCAAACAAAAUCCCCAAAUAGACCAUGCCAGUUUUCCUCCUCAGCUCCUUCCUAGAUCAGAGAGCACAGAAAAUCAAAGUUAUGCUAAACAUUCUGCCAAUAUGAAUUUCUCUAAUCAUAACAAUGUUCGAGCUAAUACUGCAUACCAUUUACAUCAGAGACUUGGCCCAGCAAGACAUGGGGAAAUGUGGGCCAUCUCACCAAACGACCGACUUAUUCCUGCAGUAACUCGAAGUACAAUCCAGCGACAAAGUAGUGUGUCCUCCACAGCCUCUGUAAAUCUUGGUGAUCCAGGCUCUACAAGGCGGGCUCAGAUUCCUGAAGGAGAUUAUUUAUCAUACAGAGAGUUCCACUCAGCGGGAAGAACUCCUCCAAUGAUGCCAGGAUCACAGAGACCCCUUUCUGCACGAACAUACAGCAUAGAUGGUCCAAAUGCAUCAAGACCUCAGAGUGCUCGACCCUCUAUUAAUGAAAUACCAGAGAGAACUAUGUCAGUUAGUGAUUUCAAUUAUUCACGGACUAGUCCUUCAAAAAGACCAAAUGCAAGGGUUGGUUCUGAGCAUUCUUUAUUAGAUCCUCCAGGAAAAAGUAAAGUUCCUCGUGACUGGAGAGAACAAGUACUUCGACAUAUUGAAGCCAAAAAGUUAGAAAAGAUGCCUUUGAGUAAUGGACAGAUGGGCCAGCCUCUCAGGCCUCAGGCAAAUUAUAGUCAAAUACAUCACCCCCCUCAGGCAUCUGUGGCAAGGCAUCCCUCUAGAGAACAACUAAUUGAUUACUUGAUGCUGAAAGUGGCCCACCAGCCUCCAUAUACACAGCCCCAUUGUUCUCCUAGACAAGGCCAUGAACUGGCAAAACAAGAGUGAGGGUUGAAAAGGAUCCAGAACUUGGAUUUAGCAUAUCAGGUGGUGUCGGGGGUAGAGGAAACCCAUUCAGACCUGAUGAUGAUGGUAUAUUUGUAACAAGGGUACAACCUGAAGGACCAGCAUCAAAAUUACUGCAGCCAGGUGAUAAAAUUAUUCAGGCUAAUGGCUACAGUUUUAUAAAUAUUGAACAUGGACAAGCAGUGUCCUUGCUAAAAACUUUCCAGAAUACAGUUGAACUCAUCAUUGUACGAGAAGUUUCCUCAUAAGCACUGUGGACAAAAAAAGCGGGGAAGACAGCAAGAUUUAUUGGAAGAUACUUACAGGGGAAAUUAAUAUUUUGACUAUUUUUAUAUAUAAAGAAGA